rnacentral:rRNA from 1 species
CCUACGGGAGGCAGCAGUGAGGAAUAUUGGUCAAUGGGCGCGAGCCUGAACCAGCCAAGUAGCGUGAAGGAUGACUGCCCUACGGGUUGUAAACUUCUUUUAUAAAGGAAUAAAGUGAGUCACGUGUGCCUUUUUGUAUGUACUUUAUGAAUAAGGAUCGGCUAACUCCGUGCCAGCAGCCGCGGUAAUACGGAGGAUGCGAGCGUUAUCCGGAUUUAUUGGGUUUAAGGGGAGCGUAGAUGGGUUGUUAAGUCAUGUGUGAAAGCUUGUGGCUCAACCGUAAAAUUGCAAUUGAUACUGGCAGACUGGAGUACAGGUGAGGUAGGCGGAAUUCGUGGUGUAGCGGUGAAAUGCUUAUAUAUCACGAAGAACUCCGAUUGCGAAGGCAGCCUACUAAACUGCCACUGACAUUUAUGAUCGAAAGUGUGGGUAUCAAACAGGAUUAGAUACCCCGGUAGUC